GUCCUACGGGAGGCAGCAGUGGGGAAUAUUGCACAAUGGGCGCAAGCCUGAUGCAGCAACGCCGCGUGAGGGACGACGGCCUUCGGGUUGUAAACCUCUUUUAGCAGGGAAGAAGCGAAAGUGACGGUACCUGCAGAAAAAGCACCGGCUAACUACGUGCCAGCAGCCGCGGUAAUACGUAGGGUGCAAGCGUUAUCCGGAAUUAUUGGGCGUAAAGAGCUCGUAGGCGGUUUGUCGCGUCUGCUGUGAAAACUGGAGGCUCAACCUCCAGCCUGCAGUGGGUACGGGCAGACUAGAGUGCGGUAGGGGAGAUUGGAAUUCCUGGUGUAGCGGUGGAAUGCGCAGAUAUCAGGAGGAACACCGAUGGCGAAGGCAGAUCUCUGGGCCGUAACUGACGCUGAGGAGCGAAAGGGUGGGGAGCAAACAGGCUUAGAUACCCUGGUAGUCCACCCCGUACGUUGGGAACUAGUUGUGGGGUCCAUUCCACGGAUUCCGUGACGCAGCUAACGCAUUAAGUUCCCCGCCUGGGGAGUACGGCCGCAAGGCUAAAACUCAAAGGAAUUGACGGGGACCCGCACAAGCGGCGGAGCAUGCGGAUUAAUUCGAUGCAACGCGAAGAACCUUACCAAGGCUUGACAUAUACGAGAACGGGCCAGAAAUGGUCAACUCUUUGGACACUCGUAAACAGGUGGUGCAUGGUUGUCGUCAGCUC
rnacentral:rRNA from 1 species